rnacentral:misc_RNA from 1 species
UUAAUGUUAUUUGGAAGAGUAGCUUUUUCCUUUGAGCUCUAAGUGAAGUGUUAAAUGGAUAGAGGGAGAUGGGCAUAGAUUUUAAAUCUGACCUAUGAAGAAAAGAAUUGAAUUAUUUACUGUUGAAAAAUUGUGGAUCUUAAUGGGUUUACACCAGCCUUAGCUUCAAUAGAGUGGCUAAUUUCUUUGUGGGAGGAGCAACAGCCUACAGCCUAUGGUUCUUACACCAUAACCAGCCCUUGGAUCUUAUAGCUUCUCUUGUG